AUAAUUGAACCGAACCGAACAGUGAAAUAGGAAAUGGAUUCCGGGAAAAUAGCGAGAAAAUCUCCUGCAGAGGCCGAGAAGAAGAGGAAGGUAAAGAAUGGCGAAGAAAGCUUCCACUUCAUCAAAAUUCUUCCGCCUCCAAUCGGGAGGAAUUUCGUAAGGAAUAUCAAGAGAAGAUUCUAGAUGUCAAGUCGAUGCACGAGAUUGGGAAGGCAUGUGGAGGGAAAUGGAAAACAAUGACCUAUGAGG